CAGGAGUUUGAGACUUGAGUGGUGAUUUGAGUAGCGGAGCCAGAACUAAAACACAGGAGUUCCUGGUUCCCGGGCCCUGACCACACGUCUAACUGUGCCAUGUGACUGGUGGGCAGGCUGCGUGGUAGAUCAUUGGACACGGCAUUCCCAGGCAAUCAGAGUUUGAAGGAAGGCAGGCUGCAUGAUUGUACAAGUGGUUUGGAUUUCCCCCAGCUCUGGAGUGCACCUGGAGCUGAUGCAGGCACAAACUGAGGGAGGGGAGUCCUAACGAUUGAAGCAGAAGAAUGCAUGGAAUUUGCAGAAUGAUGAAGUGAGAGACACUGAAAUCGCAAGGUGCUUGUGAGCAGUCUAAAGCUCUGUUACAGCCAGGCGUCUGUAAUGAGGACGGCAUCCUAUACUGCUUAUGUGCCUAGCUCGAAAGGGAGAACGUUGAAUGCCAAAGCUGAGCUGAUAUGUCUGUGUCUAUGUAUGGAAUUCCUGAUGGGAAACUAUCCAACCACUGCUGAAAGAUUGAUGAUGGGAAACUGAGGCACAGAGCGAUGUCACACAGGGAGUCUGGCAGAACCAGGCCCUGCACGGAGAUCUCCUGAGUCCCAAUCUAGUGCCUUAACCAUUAGACUAUUUUCUCUCCCAUCUUUCCAUGCAGCUGAGGUCCCUGGUGGAUCCUCCAUGUUUUUGACUGAAGAAAGACAUAUUUUAAUACUGGCUAAAACCCUCCCUGAGAGCACUGGGCAGAUCAUGGGCAGGCUUUCGCCUGGGCUCAGCCAGACAUCUCCCUUUGCAUUUGCUUCUCUAUCCUCUGUCUCCCCCAGGACCACUAAUUAAUCCCGAGUAAACACCUCAGAGACACAGAGUGACAACAAACUGAGGGAGGGAAGCCAACACAGAUUUAUCCUCCUCACGAUCCACUCGACCCAAGUCCAUAAGAUGAUCACCUGCAAACUCAGUCAUUUGAAGCAUGGAUAACGCAUGAAGCAGAAAGCAGAGUGCGCACUAAAAUACACAAUUGUACGUAUGUACAGAUCAAAAGAAGAAAACACGCGAACACUUAAGCAAAGGAAGAAAAAAAGGAGUGAAAGCACUAAAAGACUGAGCAUGCUGGACUGUAAACAAAAGAUGGCGGCCUUCCAGUUAUUACCAGCCAAGGGGGGAUGCUAUACAUGACGUCAUUCCUAGGACGAGUCUCAUACGAGUAUGAGCUUGGCAGGAUUGCUUCAUGACACUGCCAUCUCUGACCUCACAUUUUUCCUGAUUUUAUCGGCAGUGAGAUUAUUUAUUUUAUUUAUUUAAAUGUUACGAAGGCUCGGUCAGAAUUUUACCAGUAGCAGCUGGCCAACAAAACACUGCCUUAGGAGAUUGAUAGCAGAUUUAGUUGUAAAAAUACUAAUUUUACAAGUGCAAUUAUUGUUUUUUCUCAGCCCUGGCCUCCCGCCUGUCAAUAAUGAACAACUAGUGAAAGGUAAGGGUAGGGUAAGGGUAUUCGUGUAGCCUGAUGUGUAUAUUUUUGACAUAUUUGAAUGAAAAUGUGUUUUUACCUCAGGAUGGCUCAUCACAAGUGGUAGUUACCAUGAGGUAAACAACGCACAUUUUUUAGCAGCAAACGAAAGCCCCAAACCCUACUUUGCAAAGACCACCCACUCAGGUUUUGAGAUCUUUAUUUUUGCU